rnacentral:rRNA from 1 species
GAUGAACGCUGGCGGCGUGCCUAAUACAUGCAAGUCGAGCGAACAGACGAGGAGCUUGCUCCUCUGACGUUAGCGGCGGACGGGUGAGUAACACGUGGAUAACCUACCUAUAAGACUGGGAUAACUUCGGGAAACCGGAGCUAAUACCGGAUCAUAUAUUGAACCGCAUGGUUCAAUAGUGAAAGACGGUUUUGCUGUCACUUAUAGAUGUAUCCGCGCCGCAUUAGCUAGUUGGUAAGGUAACGGCUUACCAAGGCAACGAUGCGUAGCCGACCUGAGAGGGUGAUCGGCCACACUGGAACUGAGACACGGUCCAGACUCCUACGGGAGGCAGCAGUAGGGAAUCUUCCGCAAUGGGCGAAAGCCUGACGGAGCAACGCCGCGUGAGUGAUGAAGGUCUUCGGAUCGUAAAACUCUGUUAUUAGGGAAGAACAAAUGUGUAAGUAACUAUGCACGUCUUGACGGUACCUAAUCAGAAAGCCACGGCUAACUACGUG